UCUGACUCUUACACUUGAACGCCAUGUAAACAGAAGAGAGCGAAACGCGCAUAGCCUAUUGAUUUGUGUAUAGACGUUACAGUUUCGCGAGAAUUGCUGAUUUGUCAAUUAAUCAGUUAAUCAGAAUAAACAAUUCGACCGUGUACACUUCGCUGUUUGUCAUGGAAUCAGAAUAAGGAGAGCACAGUAUUCACUUGUUCAUUAACCGAAACAGAUCGAUCAUAGAAAUUAUUUUGAUCAGAAUCAAAACCGAAAAGUGAUUGUUUUUAUCAGUGAGCGAUAUGAACAAGAAAAAAAAAUCUGGUCAUGAAAAUAAGAAAAUCAGGGAGCAAAAAGAGGCCGAAAACAAAAAAGCUACAUCAGACAUACGGAAAUUCACAGGUGCAAGUGCACCAACUACUUCUGCCAGUGUUCCUAGUGCAUCUAUUCACGAUCAAAUCCAUGACGAUAUUCUCAUGGAAAACCACGACGAAGCUCACUUCGAAGGUAAAAUAAUGUUCGUUUUGAUUACUUUCCAUUGAUAGUGAUGGGCCAGGAACGAUUAAGUGGAUUAACCAUAAUUUCCAUCGAAAAUGAUAUUGCAAGUGACAAAAAUUAUGAUGAAGUUAUCCAUGAAUUUGCGUCUGCUAAAGCAAGAAAAGGUGUAUUCAAAUAGCUAUAUCUCUUUUCACACACUUCAACAAUGUUGAAUCAACAUGAACAUCUUUACACAGUAGUAUACAAGUAUUUUUCAAAGAUCCAAAGAAUUAACCAAAACGUAUUAUAAACUAAACUUAAAAAAAAACAAUAAAGAUAUUUCUUAUUAUUGUAGAAGUAAAAAUUAUUGCUCGAAUUUUCAUUAUUUAAUUUAUAUUAAACAAUUUCGGAAAAGGCGCAAAAUUUUCGUUUGCAUCGGGGCGCAAUUUGGUCUCGCUGAGGCACUGCAUGCCAUCUCAUUUUUCACGAGACUGAUAAGAGAUAUCAAUGGGCAAGCGGAAUAAUGAAACGCAAUUCUCUUGUAAAAUGAAGUAGGUAAAUGUGACUGGCCCCCCAUGUUGGAAAAAUGAAGAACCGACACCAGAUUCAUCAAAUUUAGAGUUUGUGCUGACGCUAUGCAAAAUCCCAGAAUUUGUGCUACAACUGGUGGCGAACAUAAACUCGGCAAAGUUCGAUUUUUGUCAAAUUUUGAAAUUUUGUAUGGCGGCUCCAUCUUAGAGGCCGAAUGUUGAUGUUCUGGGGUCAUUGCCAUAUGAUUUAAAGUUUGUGCUGACCGUGUGCAAAGUCUUAGAGUUUGUACUCGAACUGGGCUCGAGCACAAACUCAUCAAAAUUGAUUUUUGUCAAAUGUGGUACUAUUGUAUGGGAAGUACUCAAAAUAAUCACUUUUCAAGAAUUUGGUCCAGCCAAACUGCUAUUAUUUUUCAAAAAUAAUUGGAGUCCUUGAACAACAAAAUACUCAUUUUCAUAUAAAUUUUGUCUAAAAUCGACAUUUCUUCAAAAACCAAGCGAAUGGCCGCAAUCUACAUACAAAAUGGCAUAGAAAACUCACGUAUGAUGGGCUGAUAUGAUUUUAACGCCAAAUAAUUUUUGGCGAGUAAUCGAUUUAGAGUUCGAUCGACCCUGUCUAAUUAGUGUUAAAGGUCGAAAAAUGCCACUAUUUCAGUAGAUGUUUUCAACUCGCAAUAUGUCAUACAGAAAAUCGUAUUUUCUACCCAAAAUAUGCCUUUCCUGUGUUCUUAUGAGAGGCUCCUAUUUUUUGGAGCUCCUCCUAGCCACUGUGCAAUUUGCAUCGGUGUAUGGCUUACGAACAACAAUAUACCAAUUUCAUUAUAUUUUGGUCUCAAAUCGAAUUUUUCACAAAAAACUGAAUUAAAGCUGAAGUGAUAGAAAAAUAAAUAUUUUAUUGUUCAUUACUCAAAAAAAUUGUUUUUUUAUGUGUGAAUCAAUUAACGCCAAAUUCCAUCCAAAUCCACCGCCUGGGUGACACGUGUAGCGAAAAAUGUAAAAAAUGCCAAAAAAUUGCCAUUUUUUCAGUCAUUUUACACUGUAACUGGCCCAGAAUGCCUUUUCAAUGGCUGAGGUCUUGAUAAAAAUAAUUGUAGAUAUUGACGAGCCAAACAGAAUCUCAUGAUGAGAUUCCCAUCAUCAGUUUUUGCCGAAAUUUGGUUGGAAUAGUGGAAUCAGUCGAAAUGUUGCGAUCAAAAAUGGCUUCCGAAAACUGUCAUGAAAAUUUUGAUAUGGGAUUUUAUAUGAUACCCAUAUGUUUUUUUUGAGCCAAACCUUUUUUUGAGGUAUAUUUUUCGAAACUGGCCGGACUUUCCGGAUGAGGAACGAUUUUUUUUGGAGCAGUCUAAAGGAUAUCAUACUUUUUGAGGACGUUUUUGUAAUGUUUUUUUUUUUGCUAGAUCGAUAGCCAAUGAAAUUUUAGGAAGGUAACUCGAAGCUCAGGUCGCUAGGUUAAUCAGUCGCUAUGUAAAAGGAACCCAAUUUUUAUUUACUGCGUUGUUCGGGUCUCCCAGGACACACACACACACAGACCAACUGUUGUGCUUUUCUCCCGUACCUGUGUAGUAAACUAUUUUCUACACAAUAAU